AGCUUGAUGUGGUAUAAUUAGACUUGUAUUUUUGUAUUGGUCAUAUUGGUUAUCGUUUCAUUCAACAUCUCCAUUUGCGCCCGUCAGAAUUACAAUAAUUAUGCGCAUAUGGCGCAGAAGGAGUUUUAUUAAUGGAACAAGGUACAGUUAAAUGGUUUAAUGCAGAAAAAGGCUACGGUUUCAUCACGCGUGAAGACGGCAGCGACGUUUUCGUUCACUUUUCUGCAAUCCAAGGUGAAGGUUACAAGUCUUUGGAAGAAGGACAACACGUAACUUUUGACGUUGAAGAAGGUCAACGCGGUUUGCAAGCUGCAAACGUCGUUAAAGACUAAAACAACUCAGGACAGUUGCGUACGUAACUGUUGAUCAGGAAAUGAAAAUCGCAAUUGUAGAGGACCGGAUGAUUUCAUUCGGUCUUUUU
rfam:Lactobacillus ruminis ATCC 27782, complete genome.